GGUGAAGUAGCUUAAGAUAAUACGUCUUUAAAAGUUCAAGAUGAGAUACAGUUUUUUAUUAAGAAAAGCGCAUUUUUUAAAGUUUUUCUCCGCGGAGCUUUAUUUUGGUAUGGUUUGGUUUGGUAUUGGUAUGGUCCAAUGAAACCCGCUGUAGAGUUUUUGCUGGUAAUGUAAGUCACAAAGAUUAUGGAGAGAACUUGCAUUAAGCAGUUUAAGACUUCUCAUCAAAACAAAGUGCUCCAAGCUCCAAGAAGAGGCUCACAAGGUACAGUUCCAAAUCUAUCAGCUCCAAAAAUUGUGGUGCACGCGUGUUUUUGUUUACAAUACAAUUUUUUUAAUUUUCUAUGAAAAAGUGUUGAAACUACGUAAUGGCUUAAAAUCAAUGGUUUGUUAACGCGCGUAACGAUGUUGUGUACACAAAACUACGCAAAGUGAUUGAACAACACUAACUUAAUAUAAAAUCAUUAUAAUAUUGGAAAGCAGAAUUUAUUAUAAUCUUGACCUUAACUUAAUUGCGUAAAAGUUACGUAAGAUCUUACGCAAGAUCGAAAGAUCUUACUUUUUGUAACUCAAGUCUUUUUUACUUUUGUUCGGAAACUAAGUUUUAAAUAUUACAUUUAUUUCGAAAAUAUAGAAAAAAACUCUUUAAGUUUUUUAUUACACACUUUAUAAACACACAGGUAUGUUUUCAAAAAAAAAAUCAAUUAAUAGUAAAAAAAAUUGUUUAACACCCAGUUUUUAUCAGAAGAGAUUUUUCUUUUUUAAAAAAAACUUCGGUUGUUUUACUGUUUAUAAAAACAUCUAAAAAGAAUCGUAACUACACAAAACAAAUAUUUAUCGAAUUAUUUUAUAAAAAGCAGCUCAUGUGCGCACAUUAUACUGCUAAAACAGUUUAAGAUAUUUGCACCCCCAAAUAAACAGUUUGAGAUAUUUGCACCCCCAAAUAAAUCUUCAUAUCAUUAAAUUGCAUUUACAAAUGCUGAACUUGUCGUUUCGAAAAUGUCUAUUUAUUAAAACUUUUUAAAUUCAACAAAAAUGUUUGUUUUUUUAAAAAAUAUCGUGCUAAAAUUUUUUAUAAAAAAAAAAUCGUCUAUCGUCUAUCUAAAGAAAUUAAACGUUGGAUUAGAUAAAUAAAAAACAUAUAUGACCUUUCUGAUUUUUAUAUAUUAACAAAAAUCAGAAAUAGCAAGGGUAAGACCAGGUGGUACUAACCCGUGAACUAAAGUCUUUAUUUUGUGUGGCUCGCCUAAAUUAUAAUAAAGUGUUGAUAAAAUAAUGAUUUUACUGUCAGAUUUUGAAAUAACUGUGAAAAGUUAUUACAGUGUGCAGUCCAUGAAACUCAAAGAUGGUAGUAAAAGGGUUGAUAGGUUUUUAUAAGAAAUUCUUCUGAUUUUGUUAUAAACAUUCAAAUGAGGGAGAUGGAUAAAAUAAAAAAAAAGUUUUUCAUAAUCGGAAUGAUAAGCAAAGUUAAAACUUGUUAUGGAGUUUGUUUGUCAUUUUAUCGUGUGCUAUUAUAUCGCUUGUCAUUUUAUAGUGUCAUUUUAGGGAAUGAAAAAAAAGCGCAAGUUGACAAAGUGUUUUUAAACGCGUAACAAAGUCAAAGAUAAUUCGCAAUUUUGUUUAAAUAUAGAACAAAAUAAAACCAUCGACAUGACCACGACUAAAAUCUUAAAAUAAACAUUGGGUUUAAAAUUAAUGAAUUAAAUAAUAAAAUAAAAUUUUGCAGUUUUAGAAAAUUUAGGAUUAAAGUUCAGUGCAAAGGUUCAUUUGCAUAAGGUUUCUGCUUGACAUAUAAUAUUUAAUCUUUUUUUUUACAUGAAAAAAUUAUCAUGUUUUGUUAAUAUCACGGUUCGUGUAGAUUUAUUUCCCACGCAAAGACAGGAAACUUUAAAACAUUUCCCGCUAAUCCGGAUGAAUAAAUAAACCGGUAAGAAUUUUAUCCCUGGCAAACUUUGUAAACAUAAAAAAAUUUCAAGUAGGUUGUCUGAUUCUUGGUAAUCUACUGUUGUUACUUUGUCGAUCCACUGUUUUUACACUCAUUAAAGUUUACCAUUGCUUGAAACUUUUCCAAUUACUUGAAUCAAAUAGUCUCCGGUGUUCGAGGGCUUAGAUAGUCUAUAAAAAAUGCCUGCAGCAACUUUCUUGUUAUUAAAAUUUGUUUAAAACGUUUUCUGUUAGUUUUAUCAAUUCUUUUGGGGAUUAUUAGCACAGUUUAUAUUUUGUGGUUGAGUUUUUCGGAACUUUAACGAGUGAAAAACUUUUGGUCAACGGAAUUUUACAUAAAUGUUAUACCUCAUUGUUUUAUUGGUUUUUAUUUAUUUUUAUCAGUUAUUUAUAAUUUUUAAAUUAAACUUUACAUGAGUGAUAAUGAAACAACGAGAAACAAGAUAUGAACGUAGACGGCUGUCUUUUUUAACGUUGUUUGAUGUAAUUUGACAUAGAUUUAGCAAAAGCGUAUAAUUUCUGUUUGUUUUUAAAUCAAUAUGCAAAAGUUAUUUGUGGAAAAUUUGUUAUAAGAAAAACAUCUAAAGCUCGUAGAGUUCGCAAAAGUUAUGUGGAAUUUAAUGCUUUAUAAUAACUCUGAGAUUUAAUUGUCUUAAAAAAAUUAACGAUAUUGGCUAUAAGUACUGUUUAUAAAUAAACU
rnacentral:lncRNA from 1 species